UCUGUCUCAUUCACCUCUAUAUGCCCAGAGUCUAGUAGUUUGCUUGAUAUGUAUAAGUGCUCAAAAAAAAAAAAAAAUCUGUAGAAUUGAACUGAAUUUCUUAAAUGUCACCAAUGUCACCUAUGUGAUAAACUCUUCUGGUGACAAGAAAAUGACCCACUUAUGGAACAGAUUUUGAGAUGCUCACAGUCUAGAGGGGAGAGAAAAUAUAGGUGCAUAAACAAUUAAACCAAAAUGUACAGUAAGAAUUACCACUCAAGAGGACUAGAUAAAAUGUUAUGGGGCCUUCAGAGAAAGGCAGUUACCUCCAUCUGGAUGAAAUUGGGGACACUUUUGUGUAAGAGAAGGCAUUGGGGCUGGGCCUUCAAAGAUGCCUUAAAUAUGUCUAGGAGUUCCCUGGUUGGCUCAGUGGGUUAAGAAUCUGGCAUUGUUACUGCUAUGGCAAGGGUUCGUUCCCAGGUCCAGGAACUUCUGCAAGUAGCAGAGAGAAGAGCAGGAAGAAAGGAUAGAUGGAGAAACAGCAUAGAAAAGAGAAAGCAAAACACCUUUAAUGGGGCAGCCUUCUGAAGUCACUGAAAGUAAAGAGGAGAACCAGCCCCCAUCUCCUUCCCACCCCAGAAGCUCACUGCCCCUUAGAGGCAACAAAAUAUAGAAGGCUGAAAAAAAAAAAAAAAAAAAACCCAAACCAAAACAAAAAACAAAAAGGCUGAGGUAAAAGAUGAGCAUGACAUAGGACAUUCGAGGUGGAAGGCACAGUAUGUGCAAAGGCACUGAGGCAUGAUGGAAGAACUUACAGGGGGAGUAGCAGCAAGAACCCUCUCUGAGAAAGAUAGGGACAGAGAGAAACAAAGCAAAUGGCAAGAUGAGAAUUGUUCGUCGUGCUGUUCUUUUGAAAAAAAGAUUGCAUAUGUUUGAAAAUGUUUCAUAGCAGAAGUUAGAAAAAAAUCAAGAGAUCACAGUCUUGUGGGGGUGGUGUUGUGAGUGUAAAAACCGCUUCAAAGCCUGGACUUGAGUGGGGUCCGUACCAGGAAGCAUGCGGGGCUGAGUUACACCAAACCCAUGACAUCAAGGUCCUUUCAUCUCCGCCACAGUCCUCACGUGGCCUCAUUAGCAGGCGGCCCCAGGGGCUACACUCUGUGGCCAGCUUUGUGCGAGCCAUUACUUUAAUGGCCUCUUUUCUCAAUAAUACAAGAGGUUCAAACUGUGGCUUCCAGCAUAUUACGCCUGUUACUUUUUUCUUUCUUUCACCCAAGCUUUCAACUCUAAAGUAUGACUUUUCCAGGGAAUUCUUGGACUGCUUUUUCCUUCUGUUUUGUAAGUUUCUUUAAGGAAUGACUCUAGGAUGCUUCUAUGAUUGAUAAGGAAGAACGUGGGCUUUGAAGGAAGAUCAACUAGGAUUCCAAUCCAGGCUCCUCUGCUUCCUAAGCUGUGUGACUUUCCGCAGAUGUCUUGCCCUUUCUGGGCACUGAUUCCCUCAACUAGCACAUCGAUGCAGAACGGUUGUUACUAAAUCUCCAAGGCAGAAAUGGCUACAGUGCCAGGCCCGUGGUAGGAACGGAGAGGUGCUAUUACUAUUUUUUUAAUUGUUUUGAUUUUGUCUAUUUGAUGUGAUUCUUUUCACUCCCGUUGCCUUCCUUCUUCCUUCUCCCCCUGCUUGCUACUGCUUUGGUUUUUCAUCUUGACAAUUUCCCUCCAGGGAGACCAGAAACCCAGGUGUGAAAUUCUCAGUCUAUAAUACCACUUGACUUUUGUCACCCAAAGGUGAUACUUGAGCUAAAGGUCCCCAAGGGAGGAGUCGCGUUGACAUUGGCUGUUGGGUAGGUGGGGUGCCCUUGAGGACAUUCAGCCUUAUAUGAAUUGGGAUCUGUAAGCACAGCACACUCACCCCUUCUUGUGAUCGGCUGAGUCCACAGCUAGAAAUCCAUGUUAAAUCGAUGACCAAAGACCAACAGGUCAGUUCUACCCUAUUUUUACUCUGGGAAAGCACCAAAGAAGCAUUUUUUUCAAGUUAGCAUUGUGUUCAGGCAGAUAUUAAACAUUCCUCAAUGGGUGAAGGGUUUCCCAUUCGUUUCUCAAACAUUUUAAAUUCAGGCAAGGUUGAUAGAGGAGAAAAAUGGAGUCCCAGGUUGCCCCAUCUCAUUUUGGCCCUUAGAGUGUGAAAAAGAGGAACAAGUUAUAGUCUCUGCCUGAAGCUGAUUCUAUUAGGGGCCCUCCUGGGACCUGUCUCAAUAAAGAGGACUCCCUUGCAAAUUCAACCUGCCCAGGUGGAUUCGUUAGGGUGAUGGGCAGCAAAAUUAAUUCAGGAAGGCAUUUCUUUUUUUUUUUUUUGGUCUUUUUAGUGUUGCACCCCCAGCCUAUGGAGGUUCCCAGACUCGGAGUCAAAUCGGAGCUGUAGCCACUGUACAUCACAGCCACAGCCACCGCCACACCAGAUUGGAACCACAUCUCCAGCCUACACCACAGCUCACCACAACACCGGAUCCCCAACCCACUCAACAAGGCUGGGGAUCAAACUGCGGCAUCCUCAUGGAUGGAUACUAGUCAGAUUCCUUUCCGCUGAGCCACGGACAGUGAAUUCCCAGGAAGGCAUUUCUAAGACUAUCAGCUCCGAGGGGGUGGUGGAAGGCUGAACUGGAAGUUUGGGAUUAGCAGAGGCAAAUGAUUGUAUAGGACAGAUAAACACGGCCCUGCUGUAUAGCACACAGACCUAUAUUUAAUAGCCUAUGAUAAACCAUAAUGGAAAAGAAUAGGAAAAUGAAUACAUAUGAAUCACUUUGCUGUACAGCAGAAAUUAACACAUUGUAAAUAAAAUGCUUCAGCAAAAUACAUUUAAAAAAAAGAAUAUCACCUCAAAAAGGAAUUAAAGAUGUAGACAUCUGAAUGCAAAGAUGAAAAACAAAACUUAGGGCCAAUACUGCUCAUUGGGUAAGUUUGCCUCUGUUUUGCGCCCUGUGAGCUACAAGGAGGCUCAGAUCCAUCCAGAAGAAUGGAGAGUCACUGAGACUUCCUUCGGGUUGGGGAGUGUAUGCAAGCCUCUUCUAGGAUGCGAGGUAGCUCUAGGGGUCAGGUUGCUCUGUCUGUGUCUGUCUAUCUGUCUCUCUGUGUCUCUGCCUCUUUCUCUCCCUUACCCAUCCUCUCCACAUUCUCCAUUUCACUCCAAGGAGCUAAUCUGAUUAACCCGGUAGCUCAUCCGAUUGGAGGACACCUGCACUGGUCAGCCAAUGGAUGGGCCUGUUUUGUCAGCUGACCUGAUCCCCCAUCCAAUCAGUCAUCUCAGAGCUGCCCAGUCUCCUUCCCCUGCACCUUCUGGUGGGUCCCAGCUCACAGGCCCAGAACUCAUGGGGAAAGUGUGUGCCUUUGCCUUCAUAUUUUGUUUCUGCAGAGUGUAUUGGGACUGCCUUAAACACCAAGGGUCAUGUAACCAAGCCUAUAUUUCUUUUCAAUUUAAGGUGCUUAAUUCUCUCCUAAAAUAUACUCUGGUGUGCUGGGUGGGAACACUCGGAAGUGGCUUCUGAUUCUGGCUCUAACCUCAGGGGACCAGCUUCAAGACCGUGAAGAAGCCGCCACCUCUUUGGGUUCCAGUUUAUUCCCCUGUGACAUAGCGGGUCGCCAGAGAUAAACGCUCAAAAGGGCCCAUUACGGAACCGCAUGCUCGAAUUGCAGCAGUUGUACGCAGUGGCUUUAUGACAGGGCAGUGAAAGACCAAGGCUCUAAUUCUGUUACCAGGACCUGUUUGACCUCUAAGCCUCUUUCUCCUCUUUUGAGAUGUGGAGGUACUAACAGCUCCUGCCUCACGUGCUCUUCAGAGACCACAUAUGCAAAGCACUUAACCUGGGGCCCAGGCGGGGGGCCUGGCAGUGAGUUGAGUCCCUUUUUUUUUUUCUUUUCUUUUUAACGUCUGCACCUGCAACAUACCCAGGCCAGGGGUUGAAUCGGACCUGCAGCUGCCAGCCUACACCACAGCCAAGAAACGUGGGCUCUGAGCCACAUCUGUGACCUACGCUGCAGCUUGCAGCAAUGCUGGAUUCUCAACCCAUUGAGCAAGGCCAGGGAUCAAACCCAAAUCCUCAAGGGCACUAUGUUGGGUUCUUAACCCACUGAGCCACAAUGGGAACUCCAGGAGUCCGUAAUGGAGGGGUGGCCAGUGUAUUCGUUUCCUGUGGCUGCUGUAGCAAAUUACCACAAAGUCUCAGUGGCUUGAAAGAGUAGAAAUCUGCCCUCUCAGAUUUCCGGAGGCCAGAUGUCUGAAAACGCUAUCUCUAGGCCACACUCCCUCCGGAAGCUGCAGGCAAGAACCUCUCCUUUGCCUCUUCCAGCUUCUGGGGGCGCUGCCAGCAUGCCUUGGCUUGUGGCCACAUCAAUCUUCAAAGCUGGCAACUUCAAAUCUCUCUGCCCUGUCUUCACAUUGCCUUCUCCUCUGGGUGUCAAAUCUCCUUCCACCUGCCUCUUACAAGGAUACAUGUGCGGGAGUUCCCUUGUGGCUCAGCAGGUUAAGGACCUGGCCAUGUCACUGCUGUGGCACAGGUUCGA
rnacentral:lncRNA from 1 species